rnacentral:rRNA from 1 species
AACGUAGGUGGCAAGCGUUAUCCGGAUUUACUGGGCGUAAAGGGUGUGCAGGCGGGGGUGCAAGUGGUGUAUGAAAUCUCCCGGCUUAACCGGGAGGGGUUAUGCCAGACUGCAAUUCUAGAGGACGAGAGAGGGGGGUGGAAUUCCGGGUGUAGUGGUGAAAUGCGUAGAGAUCCGGAGGAACCCCAGAGGCGAAGGCGGCCCCCUGGCUCGUACCUGACGCUCAGCCACGAAAGCAUGGGGAGCGAACGGG